AACGACUCUCGGCAACGGAUAUCUCGGCUCUCGCAUCGAUGAAGAACGUAGCGAAAUGCGAUACUUGGUGUGAAUUGCAGAAUCCCGUGAACCAUCGAGUCUUUGAACGCAAGUUGCGCCCCACGCCUUCUGGCCGAGGGCACGUCUGCCUGGGUGUCACA
rnacentral:rRNA from 1 species